UACGGGGGGGGCAAGCGUUGUUCGGAAUUACUGGGCGUAAAGGGCUCGUAGGUGGCCAACUAAGUCAGACGUGAAAUCCCUCGGCUUAACCGGGGAACUGCGUCUGAUACUGGAUGGCUUGAGUUUGGGAGAGGGACGCGGAAUUCCAGGUGUAGCGGUGAAAUGCGUAGAUAUCUGGAGGAAUACCGAUGGCGAAGGCAGGUCUCUGGGCCUGUACUGACGCUGAGGAGCGAAAGCGUG
rnacentral:rRNA from 1 species